GAAAAGAACUUUGAAGAGAGAGUUCAAUAGUACGUGAAACCGUUCAGAGGUAAACGGACAGGGCCGCAAAGUCCGUUGUACGAAUUCAACCGACAUGUGAACGGCUUUGUAUUGAAGGGCAUUCGCCUAGCGGAGACUUUUGGUGCGAGGCAUAACGAUCACGGUUGGUGCACUUUCGUGUAAUGGAGCGCCGCGACCGGUUAAUUGGUGGUAAGAAACUCCAAGGUUAGGUGACAUCUUCUCGUUAGAGUUGGUGAGUUAUAAACCUGGAUGCUAAUUGCCCAUCAAGAGACCGAGGAAGACCGAGCUCAGGUGCUUUUGCCUUUGGACUUUGACUAAACGUUCGACUGAGGAUCACUGCAUAAGCAGUGUUUUUUGACCGCGUCUGGUUAUUCGUUUAAAGUGUCGAUAGGCAUUCCGAGGGGUCUGCGGCGAUUCGGUCGGUAGCCUGUCUGACCCGUCUUGAAACACGGACCAAGGAGUCUAACACGUGCGCGAGUCUCAGGGUCGUACGAAACCCGUUGGACGCAAUGAAAGUGAAAACGGCCGCGAGGUCUGUUUAGGUGGGAUCCCGAAACCGGAGACGGUGACGGGCGCACCACCGGCCCGUUUCAUCCGCUACGUCGGUGGGGCGGAGCAAGAGUGUACGCGUUGG
rnacentral:rRNA from 1 species